ACUAUACAUACAUUUUAUACCAAUGUCAAUUCUAUAGAUACAUAAGAUGUAACCAUUGGAAGAAACAGAUGAAGGACACAUGACAUCUUUUGUUCUACUUUAGCAACUUCCUGUGAAUCUAUAAUCAUUUGAUAUAAAAGUGGAAAAAUGUAAAAUAGAUUUGAAGAGACACUUCAGUAAAGAAGAUAUACACAUGAUGAAUAAGCACAUGAAAAGAUGCCGUUAGUCAUUAGGAAAAUGCAGAUUAAAAACUACAAUUAGGUGCUAUGAAACAUGAAGCAAAACGAAAAGAACUAACAUGCUUUACCUAUGAGAAUCAGUAUUGGCUUGACUCUAGAUACUUUCACAUCUGUCAGAUGAAUCAUUUAUUUCCAGAAACGUCUAACUUUUGGAGACUUCUUAGUUUUAUUUAGGAGACUAGAUUCGGUAGGGAGAUCUGGGUCCAUUACCAUUUCUCCAUGAAUUCCCUAUCCGUUGAAAAAAUGUGCAGAUACUGCAUUUUUUUCUGACGUCUGAGAAGAGAUCCUAUUUUUUUUUUUUGCACAUGAAAGUGUUUAUUAAUCAGGAACUUUUGAACUUUCUCCCUAGACCCUUAUCCAUUGGACUGUCUUCGGGCCUUUUUCUUUAACUUUUAUUUUAAGUUCAUGGGUACAAGUGCAGGUUUCUUAUAUAGAUAAACUUGUGGCAUUGGAACGUGCUGUACAGACUAUUUCAUCACCCAGGUAUUAAGCCUAGUACCCAUUAGUUAUUUUUCCUGAUCCUCUCCCUGCUCCCACCCUCCAACCUCUGAAAGCCCUCAGCAAAAUGAUCGUUGGGAAUACUGGAAAGUUACCGAGACUAUUUUUUAAUACAGGCACUGUUGCGUUAAAAUUCAAAGUAACGCUGGCUUUUUGUUGUUAUUGUUUGCUUUGUUUUGUUUUGUGUUGGUGUUUUGUUUUAUUUUUUUGAAAUCCACUUCUUCUUCAAAAGCAGAACAUAUAUUUUUGAAUUGAGAUUCAAACUCGUGUCAUCAUUUUGUUUAAUGCAAAGUGGAGGGGACUCCAAAGGCCUGAGAUGAAGCUUUAGGAUACAAGUCUUGAUACGACCAUGAGGUGGAAUCCCAGCCAACGGAAUUCUGUUCUCUUUAACGGGGCCUUGUGAUUGUACUGAUGAUGCUAAACUGCUUGCAACUUUCAAUUACUUUUGCUCUCUGCACACUCACCUAUACUGCAGAUGGCAGUAAAAUCAGUUGGAUUUCUGCAUUACUUUUCCCUGAAACCAGCUUCAGAAGGUUCUUAUCAAGACUUGAAUCAAACUUCAUUUUACCAAAACCUCAAGCAGAGAGACUCAUCCUCUUAAACUACAAUCUCUAAGACAGAUGCACAGACAUAAGAAUACACC
rnacentral:lncRNA from 1 species